GGACCUAAACCUAGGCCCUCUGCAAGAACAAGUCCCCUUAACCACUGAGCCAUCUCUCCAACUCCACAGAAUAUAGUAGAAUUCUAAGAUUGGAGGAAGCCUUAAGUAUUAGUGUGAAGGUCCCCAAAUGCCAACUCAAUGCUUUGGUUUGUUUUUAUCCUGUUUAAAAUAAGUUCCCAGAGUUCUGCUUCCCCAAAGAGGGCAAUGACUGCAUGCUCAUCCAUCAGCAAUAAUCAACAGGAGACAAAGAUGUCACUCUUAGGUAAGUCAUAUCUUCUUUGGAUGCCCAUCACUGUUGUCCCAACUGCCUUCUUUAUUUAUCUCACCACUCCAACUAGUACGUACUUGCAUUUCAAAGCCAGAACCUAUUCUUCCUUUGGUGUUUUAUGCUUAUAGGAUCUGAGGCCCAGCACCAUUUUGCACUCUGCCCAAUGUUACAUACACAGUCCAUUUAUGUUCAUACCAGAUUUUAGACUCUUAUGUCUAAGUUCUAGUUGUAUACUACCAUAGGAACACUAGUCUGAAGACUGGCCCAGGUUAAUUAUUUUAAGUAAAAUAUGACAUGUUUUAUAAACUGUGGUUGUGGUUACUUAUUCAUGAGAAAGAAGUGAGAGGGCUAAACAUUUUUUUAAGGAUAAAUAAUGCAUAUUUCCUAUUUAAAAAUACCUGAAAGCAAGAUUUCUCAGCAGGUCCCAAUACAGACCUGUGUGAAGGGCCACAGAACCUUAAAGCUAGGGUUGUAGACAAGCUCAGAUCACACAAGCAGAUACUAGUGUAAUGCUAUGACAAGUUCAAUAAUAAAAACAACAACCACUGUCAUAAGUCCAGCAUUCACUCAUUUAAAGGAACAGUGUCAUCUGUGAAUUUUCACCUGCGACCCAAUGCACUAGGCUCUAUUGCGUAUUUCCCCACUUCAUAUGCAUAAAUGCCAAAGCUUGGCUCAAUUUACCCCCAAAUCACACAAGUAAUGAGCAUCAGAGAGGAAACGGAGACUCAAGAGAAUCUGACCACAAAGCUAUUAACACUUGCCACAUUGCCAGCUCUCCGGGAGGCAGAGGUGACUUUCCUGCUCAUACGGAAAAGCCCCUGCAACCCUUCUGCUGCCCGAGUUACCCACAACCUCACCACCAGCAGGCAUCUCCAUCACCACCUAUCAGCCGGAACACAAAUCCUUCUGAUCACAGGUCAUUAGAGUCACCUGAUGCAGUAGAAUGCAUUCAGGAACAAUUGAAAUUCAAUGCACCUGCCAGCAAUCACCACCCGCCUGGAGCUGCCCUACUGGGGUGAAGUGACAGCAGGCCAGUCACUUUUGUGUCCCCGUGAAGCUAGUGAUUGUACCUGCUACACAGUAGGAUCUUCAAACUCAUUUACUGCACUGAAAAUAUCUAGCUUGCUUGCUUGCUUUCUCUUUCCUUCUUUCUUUCUUUCUUUCUUUCUUUCUUUCUCUCUCUCUCUUUCUCUCUUUCUUUCUUUUCGUUUCUCUCUCUCUCUCUCUCUCUCUCUCUCUUUCUCUCUCUCUCUCUCUCUCUCUCUUUUUUUUUACUGCUUGCAACUACACAAUAAAUAGUACACAAAAAACUUAUCUGUUUUUUUUUUUUUUUUUUUUUUUUUUGGUUUUGGUUUUUUUUUUCCUCCCUUGGUCCCUAACAAACACUGGUUUAAAAGCAAGGAAAUGAUUCGUUUACCCUUCACAGAAGAGAGUCAAACUAAGAACCCAGGAAGCCAAAUGUGAAGCAAGGGUGGGAAAGGGGGCUAAAGAUAAAGUGGGUGUCAGAUAGGGUUAGCUGUGUCUCUUUUAAGUGCUGACAAUCUUUUUUCGGAGAACUUUGAAUAUCUCUUUUCAUUUGUGGUAUGGGUGUGUGGGUGGGUGGGUGGGUGGGGGUGGGGGUGGUGGGUAGGUCAUUUUCUGGUGACUUACCACUUUCCAGUACUCUACCCCACUGAUUUAUGUGAAAUUGGAGUGAAAGGCUGAAAAUUUGCCCAAGGUACUAUAGCAAAAUGCUUUACUGGGAGUCUGCGGCUAUGGUGGUCAGCAUCAACAAAUAUAUAAGCAAAGUUUGGCCCUUUACAGUCCCAAGGCUCUUCCCCAGACCGUGGUUCACUUCUGACCCUGCAUAUUAGACAUGGACCAGAUAAAAGCACAAGUAAUGAACAAAACGUCAGGCAGUCUUAGCAGCAUCUAGAAUAUGAGAUAUCAGACUAAGACAGAGGCAUCUCCUUCUCACAUGGAUGUCCCUCGUGUACAUGGAUACACCUAGUCCCUGGUGGGAGUGGCUAGGGUCAGUGUUGUGGUUGACAGGCCAGGAUAAACAGGAAAGAGCCAAGUGCUAUUAGCACCAGCUCUGGUCCUAUGACUUUCUCUCCCUUCCUAGGAACCAUUAAGAGCUUCCAAGCACUUGGGUGGCACCGUGACAGUUACUAUUUCAAAGAAGGUACCACUAAUGCAGAGAGUUCUAACUGAAAGCUGGGGGUUGGGGCGAGGUGGGGGGUGACCAGAGGCAUGCUGCAGAAGCCUGAAAGUCCCUCAGGCAGGGGCAGGUCUGUGUGAAGAGGAAGAGUCAGAUUCUCAAGUAGGAGAAUCCAGGAGGAGGACUUCCCAGCUGAGCAUGAGUCAUGGGAGGAAGGGCAGGACACCAUCAGGUUUCUGGCCCAAAUAAGUGGAAGAAUAAAACACACUUUCAGUGAAAGCACUCCACAUCCAAAGGUAAUUCACACAGAUACACAAAUCUGUGUAAUUGGGUUGGCAGUGUAGUUUAGUUGGCAGAACGCUUUCAAAGUAUGCGUGAAGCCCUAGGUUUGGUCCCCAGAAGCACAUAACAGGGUUUGGUGGCCAGGUGUGGGGGUGCACGCCGUUAAUCCUAGCACUUGGGACACGAACACAGGAGUAUUAGAAGUUCAAGACUCUCCCUGCUAGAUUAAAGAGUCUGGAGUAUGUAAGACACUGUCUCAUUCAUAAAUAAAUAAAUUAAUUAAUAAAAAUUCAGACCUAUAGAUUUUAGGAGAAAAGGGAAAUUUUGGGGGAGGGGCAGGGAGCUUCACAGAGCAUCUGCUGGACAUAAACCAAGACAUAUUCAUCAACAUAUAACCAGUUAAGAAAGUGUCCUCACACCCUUGAAGCUGACUGGUCUAGCUUGAGUAGUUGUUCAACACUGUCACAUUUCAUUCUUAUUGCUUACAGUAGAGAACCCAGUGGUUUUAAAGGACAAGAUCUGCCAUGGCAUUUCUCUGAACAAAUAAGACAGCGAAGGUCCUAAUGGAGUACCGUGUGUAGCCUGCCGCACAGCCAGCCACAGUCCUCAGCAUCCCUCUUAGCUUAGAGAAGGUCCGAGGAAGCACCUGGGACCAGAACCAGAGUACCAGAUUGUAAGAGUGGGUGACAGGGAUGGAGUGCCUCAUCCUAGAUUCCUCCUUCUUUCUCUUUCUUUGAAUGAAGGCUGGCUUCAAACUCUAGAUCCUCCUGUCUCAGACCUCUCAAGCAACACUACAAUGACAGGGCUGCACCACCACACCUAACUGGAACCAGCCAUUUCAUGUUCUAGCCAAACAAAGAAGCCAACUGCCUUCAACAAAGACGCAGCAGAAUUGAUCCUAAAGUUGUUCUCUUCACAGAUACACAGAUCUAUGCUCUAGAAUUUGUUGCCAACACCACACAAUGCUAGUGACACCUGGGACUUCCUGUUCCAAUGGCAGGUUGGUAGCAGGUAGGGUUUCUUUCUGUCUGCAGAACAUUCUGUCUGCAGUCAUAGCAUGCCAGAGUCACUGAUUUUCUUACUUAGUGAAAAAUGCUUUCAUUUGGCUUUUUCCUGAGCAUAUGAGGAAGCAGAGAACAUGGGGCAGGUUGCAUGGGAAACAAAGUCCUUAAAAACGUGGUCUUGGAGCUUAUGCACAAACUUUGUGGUUUUGCAUAAAAUCGGAAUGGCCAAAUCUACUCUGCUGAGGUCAGCAAUAUGAGGUAAUGAAGGACAUACAGGACAGAACUACUGGCUCCAUUGUUACUUCUGAAACCUGAACUGCUUUUAGAAAUAAGGGCUGGAAUGUUCCAUAGGAACUCAGAGCAUGGGACAGCGGGGCAUGGCACACACUCAGUGUGGGCUAUUUAAAACCAGGCUCUUGGCUUCCCUCUGUGAUUCUAAAUACGUGAAAUCCCACUGCCCUACAGCAGCCGGGGACUAUUUCUAUGACAUUGCCUGGCACCUGUGCUCAGAGUGGCUGAGUCUACCCAACAGAAAGAAAGUAGAGUACAGGCCAGGUUUCCAGCGUCUAGCCAAUGUCCACCUUGUGUCAGAUCGAGAGAGCACUGGGGGACUGAGAGGUCUUGAAAGUUAAGGAUUCAUUGGACUAUCCCAGUUGCCUUAGCACAUUUUUUUUAAAAAGCGCAUUUUAAACAAGCCAUUUAUAUGACCAAUAAAUAGUGUAAGCAAAACUGAUCGUUUUCUCAGGAUCAGCACAGUCUGUAGAAGGAGCCCAGAUUUAUAGACAUUGCCCCUUUCUGAAUUAUAAAACCUGUUUAAACAUGUUUUUUUCUUUGACAUGUUAACACUUCCUGUAAUCAAACGGAUAAAUAAACCCUUAGGAACUCUGUACUUAAUUGCAAUCAACCAAAAGCCUUAGGCAGGAAAGGACAGUAAGAAACCUUGUUACAUAAUGUCAAAACACCUGAUCAAGUUUGUAACGGCAAUCAAACAGUCAAGCCAGUUGUAGGAUUUCUGACAGACCACAGAAUAUAUUAAGUAACUUUUAGCAUUUUAUCUUGAUGUAGAAAAAUUAAAGCUACAGCCUUUAUAAAAACAUGUAAGACUUUGCCAAGGCCAGUACCCCCACAUCUUGGGCUUGAUCUAAAGCUGCUUGUAGUGAUUCACACCUUUGAUCUCCGCAGUGGGGAGGAAAAGGGGAGAACAUCAGAAGCUGAAGACCAGCAGAGCUCUUGGCAAGGGACCUCCAGCUGAUUCGUGAGCUGUUCCUCGCUCAGGCAGCGCACUGCUGGGGGAAGAGACCUGUGAGGUGCUGCGAGGUGGGAGCGAGCCAACUGCUGGAGGAAGAGAGCCGACUCACUUCACAGAAAACACUGAGCACAGACCAGUCUUCGAAGGCAAGCGAAGUGAUGUAACAGAAAAUAAACAGCUUUCUGCUUUCA